GGCCGUUCUUAGUUGGUGGAGCGAUCUGUCUGGUUAAUUCCGAUAACGAACGAGACUCUGUCCUGCUAACUAGGCGGGUAAACCCGGGUCGGCG
rnacentral:rRNA from 14 species